AGCAGCCGCGGUAAUUCCAGCUCCAAUAGCGUAUAUUAAAGUUGUUGCAGUUAAAAAGCUCGUAGUUGAAUUUCGGGAUCAAUAUGUCGGUCGUGCUUUAGGGUACGUACUGGCGUCAUUGGUUUCUCUCUUCUGACGAACCAUGAUGUCAUUAAUUUGGUGUUAUGGGGAGUUAGGACUGUUACUUUGAAAAAAUUAGAGUGUUUAAAGCAGGCAUUAGCUUGAAUACAUUAGCAUGGAAUAAUGAAAUAGGACGUUUGACCCUAUUUUGUUGGUUUCUAGGAUCGACGUAAUGAUUAAUAGGGAUAGUUGGGGGCAUUAGUAUUCAAUUGUCAGAGGUGAAAUUCUUGGAUUUAUUGAAGACUAACUACUGCGAAAGCAUUUGCCAAGGAUGUUUUCAUUAAUCAAGAACGAAAGUUAGGGGAUCGAAGACGAUCAGAUACCGUCGUA
rnacentral:rRNA from 1 species